rnacentral:rRNA from 1 species
AUACGUAGGGUGCAAGCGUUAAUCGGAAUUACUGGGCGUAAAGCGUGCGCAGGCGGUUUUGUAAGACCGGGGUGAAAUCCCCGGGCUCAACCUGGGAAAUGCCCUUGUUACUGCAAGGCUUGAGUGCGGGCGAGUGGGAUGGAAUUCCGCGUGUUGCAGUGAAAUGCGUAGACAUGCGGAGGAACACCGAUGGCGAAGGCAAUCCCCUGGGCCUGCACUGACGCUCAUGCACGAAAGCGUGGUGAGCAAACAGGAUUAGGUACCCUGGUAGUCCACGCCCUAAACGAUGUCAACUGGUUGUUGGGGAUUUAUUUUCUCAGUAACGAAGCUAACGCGUGAAGUUGACCGCCUGGGGAGUACGGCCGCAAGGUUAAAACUCAAAUGAAUUGGCGGGG